AACAAGAGAGUUUUUGUUAGAGUGUUACUGCUAUAGUAUUUUAUAUGAUCAAAUACAUCCAGUGAAAUAGUUUCACCAAGUAUUCCAACACUUGAAAAAUAGUGACAAUGACACAAGAAAGGAAUGUGUGGAGGUGUGCAUGUAUAUGCACCAAAAUUGUUGAUAACUGGGAUAUUCAAUUGACUGUUCACUGUCGUUACUGUCUUAUUUAACCUCACGUAUGAAAUUUUUGGUGUUAAAAGCUUUCCAAAUGCAGGUAAAGCCACUUUCUCAAAUAUUCUCCUCAUUAUUUCAUAAACAACUGAAAUGAAGCUGCAGUGAAAAAUGCAUGAAAGGGCUGCAUAAUCAAAGUGAGAGGAAACAUUAGAGAGAAGGAUAUGUGUGUGGUCUUCUGCUACUUGUACCAGAAAACAGAAAUAGUUGUUUCCGCAGUCUUAGGAGGAAGGAAUAUAUUUCACUCAUGAGUGGUUUGCUUUUGCAAUGACAAAUCUGCAGCACACUUUGGUUUGGUCUCUUUUUUUAAGGUGCUCACUGCCUUGGUUGCAGCUCAUUCAAAACCCCUGUAAAUGUUUCAAGGAGCAGGAUAAGCAGUUGUGAUUCACAGGAAAAAAACAGAACUUCUGGCCAUCAGAGAAAACAUCACUUUGUGCAAGAAACAGAGCUUCUCCUGGGAGCUGGUUUCAAAGCAAGGAACUACUUUCAAUAGAAAUUAUGGAACAACAGACAUCUCAUGAAUCCUCACUCCUAAGCAGUUUAGGCUAACAUGAACUGUAAAGAGGAGUGUUUUUGUAGACACCAUCUGUGAACUUUCAGGUCCCUACAUUUCCUACACUUCAACUAACAUGAGGAUUGAUGCAUUUACUUUGUUCUGAAUACGUUCUCUGACAGAAAAAAAAAACUGUACAAAUAUUUCCAGUUAAUUGAACUACUUACACCAAAGGAAAUGUAACAACUGUUGCAAAUUAUAUUAAAAAAAAAAGUCAUAAAAAGGCUGGAGCCCAUCUCCUGUGGAAACAGUCUGAGAAAAUCAGGAUUGUUCAGCCUGGAGAAGAGAAUGCUCUGAGGAGACCUUCUAGCAGCCUUCCUGUCCCUAAACAGGGCCCAUAGAAAGGCUUGAGAGGGCUGCUUUGCAAGGGCAAGCAGUGUUUGGACAAAAGGGAAUGGCUUUACUUUGAAAAGGAUAGAUUUAGAUUGGAUAUCAGGAAGAAAUUCUUCACUAUGAGCAUGGUGAAGCACUGGAACAGAGUGCCCUGGAAGUAUUAAAGGCCAGGCUGGAUCAGGCUUUGAGCAACCUGGUUUAGUGGAAGGUGUCCAUGCCCAAGACAGGGACAUAGCAACUAGAUGAUCUUUAAGUUCCCUUCCAAUCCUAACUAUUCUGUGUCUCUGUCAUUUUAUGAAUACCACUUUAAUUUCAACCAAUGGCAUCUGGUUUGUAAGAACUUGUUUUAGACAUGAACAAUAUGGAGCCAAGUCCAUCAUGAACAGAAGACUCUGCCUUACUGGAUUUUUAAAAUUUUAACACUUAUGAUGACUCUGGAACUGUCUAUUUAAAUACAUAUGUUUUUCUGUGUCUUCAUAUUUUUUAUGUACACUGAAGAAGUUUCACUGGCUAAAGAUUUCCAUUUCAAUCUGGAUUAUGUGUGUGUCAGAUACUCAAAUGCUGAUGUUACGUGACACAUAAUGGAAAACCCUUCCAAAGUCUCAAGGGGCAUUACAGGUGACUUACUGAGACCUUAAGUGGUUCUUUUUGUACCACAUUGAUCACUGUGGUAUAGCAGCCUCUCCAGACCGCCUACAAGCACAUUUCUCUUAUUUGCAAAUCUUGUAUAACGCUUGUAUAAUCUUACUGGUGGCCGACUCUACAAGCCAUAUGAUGCUCCAGGUUCUGUAGAAACAGUCUUAGGAAUAAUUAGAGGAAUCUCCGUCUGUUCCCAAAAUCUUUGAUAUUAGAGUGAUGAGGCAGUCAGAGCAAACUGGAUAUACAAUAAAAAAGAACUCCAUUUCAUAAAACUUGCUCAGUGGAGAAUUAAUCUUCUAUGCUUUUACAGACAAUGUUUAAAGUCUUUAAUUUCAAGAGAAACACCAUACUUAAAGGUGUAAAAAAAGUUGGGGAAGAAGAUGAUGCAAAAAAUUUAUUUGGAAACAGUAUGGUACAGGAUUUUGCAAAAUCUGAAACUCAAAAAAAAGAGAAAAUGAUGAAGUUCAACACACAAAAUAUAAGGACGAUAGGAAAGAACUGUGAACAAAAGAUUUUGCCUCACUAAGUUUGCAAUCAGACCCCCUUCUGGGAAGGCUAAUAUGAAAUGAGAGACUAGAUAAAGAAGUGAAGGUAAAGGACAGGAACUAAAAAUAGAGAGCUUAGUAAAAGCCUUAAAAUAAGCCAAUUGAGUAUUUUCCUAUGUUAUCUGCCUUCAAAAAUGGUAACAAGUCCUAUCCCACUUUCUCUGGAAGGACUUAACUGUAAAAAUAAAAAAUCAGAUGAUGGUUCAAUUAUAAAAAAGAUUUUCCAAAAAUUUGCAGAAUUCUACAUAGUUUUGGAGAAGACCAUAUUUUUUUCACUGAAACUGGUGAAAACAUAGUAACUGAGUUAGUUCUGUUUGACUUUUUAUUUUUUUAAUCAGACAGUUAAAUUUUAAAGUUAUUUUGUCAUGGAAAAGACUCUAAACAGACUUACAAAAGAACUGUUUUUACAAAGACCUGUAACUUAAAAAACGUGACCUACAGUGAAGUUGAACCUAAAAAUAAUGAAAUGUAACUAGAGCAGAGAGACCAGCUAA